rnacentral:tRNA from 1 species
GCGAGGAUGGCGGAACGGCAGACGCGCUAGUUUGAGGGGCUAGUGGGGUAACACCCGUGGGGGUUCAAGUCCCCCUCCUCGCA